AAAAACGUAAAGGAUGAAUCUGCGAACAAACUCACAACACCAAAGUUAAUAACAUACAACAACAAAAUGCAUACAAAUAAUAAUAUGAUAAAAUCUAAGUCACCGAAAUACCCAUGCUUUCGGAUCUGCAACGUUGACACCCAAAUAAUUGAUUGAAUUUGUAAUUGAUGAUGUCGAGCUUUCAAUAGGAACUAAACGAACACUGCGAUAAGACGCAAAAUCACAUGCAAUAUAAGACGAUGAACAACACAACGCCGCACUUAGACGACGAAAUCACAAAAAACACAAAAGGAAAAACCUGAAAUAUGUG
rnacentral:lncRNA from 1 species